rnacentral:rRNA from 1 species
GAUGAACGCUGGCGGCGUGCCUAAUACAUGCAAGUCGAGCGAACAGAUGAUGAGCUUUCUCUUCUGCCGUUAGCGGCUGACGGGUGAGUAACACGUACAUCACCUUCUUCUAUUACUUGGAUAACUUCGUGAAACCGCUUCUACUACUGCCUCAUAUAUUCAACCGCUUGAUUCAAUAGAUCUUGACGCCUUUCCUGUUUCUAUUAGACGAUUUCGGGCCGCAUUAGUUAGUUGGUAAGGUAACGGCUUACCAAGGCAACGAUGCGUAGCUGACCUGAGAGGAUGAUCAGCCACACUGGAACUGAGACACGGUCCAGACUCCUACGGGAGGCAGCAGUAGGGAAUAUUCGACAAUGGGCGAAAGCCUGACGGAGCAACGCCGCGUGAGUGAAGAAGGUCUUCGGAUCGUAAAACUCUGUUAUUAGGGAAGAAAAGAUGUAGGAGAAAAUAUGGACGUCUUGACGGUACCUAAUCAGAAAGCAACGGCUAACUACGUG